UCGCCCCGCCACGGCCUCCGCCACCGCCUCCCCCGCCCGGUGGCGCUGACGGGAAGCGUCGUCCCGCCUCCUCCGCCGCCGCUGACAGGGCCCCGGCACGGCGCGGGGGAGCCGCGGCUGGCGGCAGGGCCUGCCCGGGGCCUGAGGCUCCAGGCUGGGGCCUGAGGCUCCGGCUAGCACUGACCUCGCCGCAGACCGCGGACCGCGGCCGCCUCCGUCGCGGGCUGCGAGCGUCUGGACUUCGACCCUGCCCGGACAUUUCUCAUUAACACACCUUGGGGACUACAGUCCUAGUCCUGCUGGCGCAUGGGAAAUGAGGUAGUAUCAUCCCCCCAGACCUCUGAGGGGUCUCUGCAUGGACUGUCUGCAUUUGCAGACUCUCCUUUGAGGGAAAAUAAAUUUUCUUCGACAAGGAGUUUGCUGUGAAGGAAGCCUCGUGAAUGAGCUGCACAUGUUCCUCCCAAAGGUCUCCUGAGAGCAAGGAAGGGACAAGAUGUCCGAGCGCUUGUGCCCUGGCAGGCAGCGAAACCUUGCACAAGUGACAGCUGGUGUGAAGCCUCUAUCCAGUAAAACAGCAUGCGUGGAGGCUGCGCUGCCAGAGACCCAGGGGAUCCCAGCUAUGGCCCCACAGGAAACCAUCCUGUCCUGCUGCUCCAAACUCCUCACUGCAGCAGCACAUCGCUGCCUGCCCGCGCCUGCAGAGUCAGCUCCUGUGCUCAUGGGGCUGGACCCUCUCCUGCCGCAGCCCUGCGAACACAUUCACCAAGCAGAUUGCAGUGGCAGGCUGCUUUGGGGCGAUGCUCAGACGAAGGCGCUGUGGGAGGGAGCAGCGUUCCCUGCGGAUGAUCUCCAGCUGCUUCCGGCCUCUUCUCCCUGGCGCUGGAUAAUUUUGCUGUGCCGAGUGUGUAAUUAUCGCCUCUGUCAUCUCCCAGGCUGGGGCAUGGGAGCAGAUGGGAGGAUGUUUAUUUUUGUGAGUUCCACCAGCUGGGUGCUUGGGGCAGUGGGGAGGGCAAAGGAGACAUGGUGGGGAAAGUAGCGAUGGUUUUGUUCAGAGACAGGGAAACAGUUCCCCAGAGAGAAACGUUCUCUGAACCAUCCUCCCUCCUGCAAAGGGAGGAUGUCCUGGUGCUGCCAGCACUGCCAGCUGGGAAAGGACAAAGAUGCUGUGGUGAGCUGGCAGAGAGGGGCAGUUGGUGAGGAGGUGCAGAGGGUUGAGUUGUCUCACUGGCUCCUUGCUGAAUGCCAGCAGAGCUGGGCUGUCCAUACACAUCUGUCCUGUCACCUCACAAUUGGAAGCACCCAGUAAAGGCAUUUGCUGCAGGA